rnacentral:rRNA from 1 species
UGCGCAGGCGGGUUAUUAAGUCAGUGGUGAAAUCUCUCGGCUCAACCGAGAAACUGCUAUUGAAACUGAUAAUCUUGAGUAUAGUUGUAGUAGGCGGAAUAUAGCAUGUAGCGGUGAAAUGCUUAGAUAUGCUAUAGAACACCGAUCGCGAAGGCAGCUUACUAAACUAUUACUGACGCUCAUGCACGAAAGCGUGGGGAGCAAACAGGAUUAGAUACCCUGGUAGUCC